GCGCAUUGCAGUUCACACGGCAGAGCGGGAUGGACCGGUCACAAUCUAUCAUGUACCUGAAGGUAGCUGACAACAACCGGGCAGACACCCACCUUGCCUUCUUCAUUGAAGCUGUGAAUGAGCAUGGCUUUCCUCUGAGGUAUUCAUGUUAUUCCCAACUUUACCCUCUGUUACCCUGUUACAAAUCUGCUUUUGCCUAAAGUGUGUUAUUGACCAAAGAUAACAUGCCAUUUGAGGUCAUAUAGUAAAAUCUAUUGGGGGGGGGGUGAACAUUUCCCUCUUUCAAAAAAAAUUUCCCCAGCAGAGGGUUAAUAAUGCCACAUUGUUUACUCACUUAGUAGCAAGGUACAUAAGGAAAUUUCUGUGAGACUGAAAUUGAUGUAGAUUGUUAUAGAUGUGCAUUAAAAAUGUUUGAAGCAAGAUUCUAAUGUUUUUUUUUCAUGGUGAGAGGAGAUCAUGGCGGAGAAAACGUAGGUGUUGCAGAAUUAAUGUUCUCAGUUCGUGGAACUGACACCAACAGCUUCAUUGCAGGAAAAAGUGUACACAAUCAACGGUGAGUUUAACCUAAUUUGGAAGCUUUGUGUCUGUGCGCGCAUGCCUGUGCCUGUUGACCUGCCCAGGGUGCACCCUUCGUCUCACACUGUGACUGCUGAAGAUAGGCACCAGUCCCCCUGCGACCAUUCAAAAGAUAACUCAAGUUGAAAACGGAUGUAUGGACAUGUAAAUGUGUGUGUAUAUUAUAAUUUUCUUUUAUUUAAUCCCCCUCCAAAUCCAGGAUCGAGUGCCUCUGGCGUGAUGUCUUCAUGAGUGUUACUGGUUUAUAUUACAACAUCCUGCACUCUCUGGAAGACCAAGACUUGCUCGACAUCAGUAACAUCCUUCACCUGUUUUGUUGCCACUAUAUUGUCUCGCAUCCAGGCCAGCCUGGAUGUCUUUAGAGAUGCGUGGGACAACCAUCCAAUCAGGACAGAGGAAAACAUGACACCAAAUCAGCUGUGGCAUCUGGGCCAGGCUCUGAAUCCUGUUUCUGAUCCAGGGGCAAAUGGUAUACCGGUACCAGAGAUUGAAUGGGAGGAGAAUGGAUACAUGACUGAACCUCAUCCUGGGAUCAGUGUCCCUGUACUGGACAGUCCUCUUUCAGAUCAUGAAAUGUUGGAACUGCAGGACAACAUAAUCCUUUGCAACAUUCAGACUCUUGGGAGUGGACAUAUAUCUUCACACUGUCCAGUAUGUUGAGAACUUACUUGAGGCUAGAUGAUUACAUGUGUGAAGAAGGAAGGAGAGAGAAGGUAGGGAGUUAGGAAGAAAGAAAACAAUUAAUGAGACAGGAAGGAAGAAAGUUAAAAAGUGAAGGAGUGGUCCAUUUUAAGGUUAAUGUACUGUAUAUUGUUAUUCAAGGGAUUAACCUUUGUAAAUAUGAAAUGCUAAAGAAUAGACCCCAAAAUAGAUUUCUAAAUUCAUUUAUAGUUGUGUAUUCCCUUAAAGGCUUUAUCAGCCUGAUUUAUUUUAGACCAGGAAUGUAUUUGAAAAGGCUGCUGUCCACUUCAUCUAUGCUACAAUUCUUCAAAAUGUAGAUGUUCUAUCAUUGCUAGUGUUGGUUUAGUAACAUACAUCUUCCUGUGUAUCCAGCUCUAAUAAAAACAUUUAAAAGUGAAGCACCUACUUAUCAGGAGAUCCAUUUAUUUUUACGUGUUAUUGUUUGAAUUUUGUCUCGUUUCAUAACUUUUGCUCAACAUUUAAGGGGAACUGUGUUACCCUGCGAUCAUCUUCAUUACACUUGAAAACUUGUACUAUACCUCCGUCCGUCUACUUAUUAAAUGGAAUAACAUGACAAGA